ACACUAUGUACUUCUCUCUUCUUUUUUUCUAGAGCAGUUUCUUCUCCUUCUUUUUCUUCGGAGGGUGGAGUGGGGGGACUGCAUGUGAUACACAUUUCGUGAAUCUAGAUCGCUAUUUUUUUUUUACUGACAUAUGCAAUGGCGUUCAACACAAACAUCAAAGGUCUUCUCGCGGGUCUAACAUUAGUUAUCACCUCUACAUCCUUCUGGCAACUGAAUUCACAGAUCGAUGGUGUGGAAGAGAAUUUGUUCUUCAGAUUUCUGACAAACCAUAGAGGAGACAGAACGUUAUCAGUGGAUAAAGGCGACCAAUGAUCUGACGUUAAAUAUUCUGGAAGACCAGACAACACAGAAGCUUUAAAGGAUAGCAAGCGUGAUAAGAUUUUAAUGUUCACGUUGUACUCUAUGUAGGAGUACCACUCUUAUAGGUCUUAACAUAAAGACAUCAUGUGAAAUUGGUCAUAUAACUAAAACAACAUUUAUAAUGGAACGUAUAACCACCGAACCUGA